UAUCCCCUGCGAUGUUGGUGAAGAAGAGGACGGCUUUGAUCCAACAGCGUAUAAAACGGGAGUCCGGGGUCAUUUCAUGGUGAGCGUUCCUUGUGAUGGGGAAGCCUAAAGUGAAUGCAGGACACCCACUUGCUUUGACGGGUUCAAAGCGGAACUCCCCACGGCAUCGCGGGGGCUUC
rnacentral:other from 1 species